UACGUAGGGGGCAAGCGUUGUCCGGAUUUACUGGGCGUAAAGAGCGUGUAGGCGGCCAAACAGGUCCGUUGUGAAAACUGGAGGCUCAACCUCCAGACGUCGACGGAAACCGUAUGGCUAGAGUCCGGAAGAGGAGAGUGGAAUUCCUGGUGUAGCGGUGAAAUGCGCAGAUAUCAGGAAGAACACCAAUGGCGAAGGCAGAUCUCUGGGCCAUUACUGACGCUGAGGAGCGAAAGCGUGGGGAGCGAACAGG
rnacentral:rRNA from 1 species